GACGAACGCUGGCGGCGUGCUUAACACAUGCAAGUCGAACGGAAAGGCCCUGCUUGCAGGGUACUCGAGUGGCGAACGGGUGAGUAACACGUGGGUGAUCUGCCCUGCACUUCGGGAUAAGCCUGGGAAACUGGGUCUAAUACCGGAUAGGAGCCAUUUUUAGUGUGAUGGUUGGAAAGUUUUUUCGGUGUAGGAUGAGCUCGCGGCCUAUCAGCUUGUUGGUGGGGUAAUGGCCUACCAAGGCGGCGACGGGUAGCCGGCCUGAGAGGGUGGACGGCCACAUUGGGACUGAGAGGCGGCCCAGACUCCUACGAGAGGCAGCAGUGGGGAAUAUUGCACAAUGGGCGCAGGACUGAUGCAGCGAAGCCGCGUGGGGGAUGACGGCCUUCGGGUUGUAAACUCCUUUCGCUAGGGACGAAGCUUUUUGUGACGGUACCUAGAUAAGAAGCACCGGCUAACUACGUG
rnacentral:rRNA from 1 species